CUGCAGACGCCGGAUCUCCCGGAUUAUCUAAUACCAAGACUAAAGAUGCGAUUCCAAGAUGUAGAGAAAGCACGGGAAUUUUAUAACAGAUACACUAGACACGCUGGUUUUGGAAUCAGGAAGACGGGAGGCAAUGACAACCACAAGCAUUUUGUUUGCACGUUCCAAGGGAAAUACACAACUUCUAUUUCAGAGGCUAACAGGAAGCGAAACAAAACAUCGUAGAGGACAGGCUGCAAUGCAAGAAGGAGGGUGAAGGUGCAGGAGGAUAACACAUGUGUGGCAGUGGACAUUGAGUAUAAUCAUAAUCACCAACUCAUGCAAACUGAUGGCAUGCUGGUAUUCUUGCACUCACACAAGAAUUAUGACCCCACUAUUCUGGAGUACGUAAAGCUCCUGCAGUACCAUGAUGUCAAGCAUACAACAAUCAUGUCCAUGCUAUCAGAAAAUGAAGAUGGAAGCUACUUCCGAAGCAUGACCGGACGAGACCUACUAAACCAGAAAGCCAUGAAUGCAAGGAAAGAUGAUUUGGAUGAUGUAUUGAAACUUGUAUCAUUCUUCAAAGACAUGAAGGCAAUCAAUGAUGAGUUUUUCUAUGACAUACAAGUAGACAAGGACAAGUCAAUUAAAAACAUUUUCUGGUCCAAUGCAAGCUGCCGAGGAGCGUAUCAAGACUUCGGCGAUUGCGUAACAUUCGACACAACUUACAAGAUCAACAGAUUUCAUAUGCCUCUGGGAGUGUUUGUUGGAACAAACCAUCACUUGCAGUCAACGAUAUUUGCUGUUGCCCUGAUCUGAGACAAAGAUGCAAAGUCAUUCAAGUGGUUGUUCGAUACAUUUGUACGGUGCAUGAACAACAAGCACCCAACUUGCAUUCCAACAGACCAGUGCCCCUCGAUGGCGAAAGCUAUACCACAAUCAUUCCCAAACACCGUCCACAGGCUAUGCCGUUGGCACAUCCUGGAGAAGUACAAGGAAUACCUCGCGUUGCUGUACAAAAUGUAUAAAACAUUCAAAGAGGAGUUCACAGCUAUAUUAAACUGGUUGCUGAUGCCAACAGAGUUUGAAACUGCCUGGGCUGAACUCGUGCACAAGUACAACCUGGAGAACGAUCAGAUGAUGAUGCAGCUGUGGAGUGAUAGGAAAAUGUGGAUUUCAGCAUAUUACAAGAACAUUUUCUGUGCUAGAAUGACUUGCACACAACGAAGCAAGAGCAUGAAUCACGUGCUCAAGAGAGGGUUUGUCAAGGGGACCCAGAACCUACACAAGUUUGCUAGGCGGGUAAAUGCCUGCAUACAAACUCGAAUGCAGAAGGAGAACGAGCAAACAAUGACCAGCAUGGUAUUAACACAAAAAAACAUCCCCAUCAUAUUGUGA
rnacentral:rRNA from 1 species